UCUGAUGCAGCGACGCCGCGUGAGCGAUGAAGCCCUUCGGGGUGUAAAGCUCUUUCGACGGGAACGAUAAUGACGGUACCCGGAGAAGAAGCUGCGGCUAACUACGUGCCAGCAGCCGCGGUAAUACGUAGGCAGCAAGCGUUGUUCGGAAUUACUGGGCGUAAAGAGUGUGUAGGCGGUUCUCUAUGUUCGGUGUGAAAUCUCCCGGCUUAACUGGGAGGGUGCGCCGAAAACUGGAGGGCUUGAGUAUGGGAGAGGAAAGCGGAAUUCCUGGUGUAGCGGUGAAAUGCGUAGAUAUCAGGAGGAACACCUGCGGUGUAGACGGCUUUCUGGACCAUCACUGACGCUGAGACACGAAAGCGUGGGUAGCAAACAGGAUUAGAUACCCUGGUAGUCCACGCC
rnacentral:rRNA from 1 species